AUACGUAGGGGGCGAGCGUUGUCCGGAAUGAUUGGGCGUAAAGGGCGCGUAGGCGGCCCGGUAAGUCUGGAGUGAAAGUCCUGCUUUUAAGGUGGGAAUUGCUUUGGAUACUGUCGGGCUUGAGUGCAGGAGAGGUAAGUGGAAUUCCCAGUGUAGCGGUGAAAUGCGUAGAGAUUGGGAGGAACACCAGUGGCGAAGGCGACUUACUGGACUGUAACUGACGCUGAGGCGCGAAAGUGUGGGGAGCAAGCAGGAUUAGAUACCCUGGUAGUCCACACUGUAAACGAUGAAUGCUAGGUGUAGGGGGUAUCGACCCCUUCUGUGCCGCAGUUAACACAAUAAGCAUUCCGCCUGGGGAGUACGGCCGCAAGGUUGAAACUCAAAUGAAUUGACGGGG
rnacentral:rRNA from 1 species